rnacentral:rRNA from 1 species
AUUGAACGCUGGCGGCAUGCUUUACACAUGCAAGUCGAACGGUAACAGGCCUUCGGGUGCUGACGAGUGGCGAACGGGUGAGUAAUGCAUCGGAACGUGCCCAGAGGUGGGGGAUAACGCAGCGAAAGCUGUGCUAAUACCGCAUGUGAUCUGAGGAUGAAAGCGGGGGACCAGGCAGCAAUGUUUGGCCUCGCGCCUUUGGAGCGGCCGAUGUCAGAUUAGGUAGUUGGUGGGGUAAAGGCCUACCAAGCCGACGAUCUGUAGCUGGUCUGAGAGGACGACCAGCCACACUGGGACUGAGACACGGCCCAGACUCCUACGGGAGGCAGCAGUGGGGAAUUUUGGACAAUGGGCGCAAGCCUGAUCCAGCAAUGCCGCGUGCGGGAAGAAGGCCUUCGGGUUGUAAACCGCUUUUGUACGGAACGAAAAGGCUCUGGCUAAAACCUGGGGCUGAUGACGGUACCGUAAGAAUAAGCACCGGCUAACUACGUG